GAUGAACGCUGGCGGCGUGCCUAAUACAUGCAAGUCGAGCGAACAGAUGAGGAGCUUGCUCCUCUGACGUUAGCGGCGGACAGGUGAGUAACACGUGGAUAACCUACCUAUAAGACUGGGAUAACUUCGGGAAACCGGAGCUAAUACCGGAUAAUAUAUUGAACCGCAUGGUUCAAUAGUGAAAGACGGUUUUGCUGUCACUUAUAGAUGGAUCCGCGCCGCAUUAGCUAGUUGGUAAGGUAACGGCUUACCAAGGCAACGAUGCGUAGCCGACCUGAGAGGGUGAUCGGCCACACUGGAACUGAGACACGGUCCAGACUCCUACGGGAGGCAGCAGUAGGGAAUCUUCCGCAAUGGGCGAAAGCCUGACGGAGCAACGCCGCGUGAGUGAUGAAGGUCUUCGGAUCGUAAAACUCUGUUAUUAGGGAAGAACAAAUGUGUAAGUAACUAUGCACGUCUUGACGGUACCUAAUCAGAAAGCCGCGGCUAACUACGUG
rnacentral:rRNA from 1 species